UGGGGAAUUUUGGACAAUGGGCGAAAGCCUGAUCCAGCAAUGCCGCGUGUGUGAAGAAGGCCUUCGGGUUGUAAAGCACUUUUGUCCGGAAAGAAAUCCUUGGCUCUAAUACAGUCGGGGGAUGACGGUACCGGAAGAAUAAGCACCGGCUAACUACGUGCCAGCAGCCGCGGUAAUACGUAGGGUGCAAGCGUUAAUCGGAAUUACUGGGCGUAAAGCGUGCGCAGGCGGUUUGCUAAGACCGAUGUGAAAUCCCCGGGCUCAACCUGGGAACUGCAUUGGUGACUGGCAGGCUAGAGUAUGGCAGAGGGGGGUAGAAUUCCACGUGUAGCAGUGAAAUGCGUAGAGAUGUGGAGGAAUACCGAUGGCGAAGGCAGCCCCCUGGGCCAAAUACUGACGCUCAUGCACGAAAGCGUGGGGAGCAAAACAGGAUUAGAUACCCUGGUAGUCCACGCCCUAAAACGAUGUCAACUAGUUGUUGGGGGAUUCAUUUCCUUAGUAACGUAGCUAACGCGUGAAGUUGACCGCCUGGGGAGUACGGUCGCAAGAUUAAAACUUAAAUGAAUUGACGGGGUCAUAGCUGUUUCCU
rnacentral:rRNA from 1 species